ensembl:lncRNA
CAGAGAUUGAACCAACAACCAUCCAAUUAGCAGAUGACCUGCUCUACAGCCAACUCGAUGACGAACAAGGAGGGACAACGAGAGAGGAAGAAAAAUGGACCGAAUGCAGCUGUAGGCAUAUGUGGGUGUGUUGAUUCUUACUGCCGUGCAUCCAGUAGAGUCGCUACGGCCAGUUUAUGACAUCCUGAGUCUGGUAGAGAAGUUUUAAAGGUGACACAAGAUUAAUGAUAGAAGCACAAAAAGGACAUAAUUUCUUGAUAAAGACACAAUAGAUGAUCAUCGUUCAUGACACAAACGUGCUCCCAUUUGAGGUGUAUGGUGUGUGUUGGUGUUGACUUGACUUGAAACACAAGUGGGUGUUUCUCCUGCUGUGAUGUAAGAUCCUGGUAUUGAUGUGACUGUAUGAGCACCAAGUCCCCUUCAAAGGACUCUGUCCCCUCCAACAGAACAUCCAAGUAAACCAAGGAACUUUGAGACAAAAACAUGGGCAGCAUGUGAUGCAGGUCCAGCUGUACAUGGAACAUGCUAGUGUGCGAUGGCAAACCGUCUGUCCUGCAGUCAGGAAACGUGAGUUGUCCCUAACAUUGCAGGUUUCCAAAAGAAAACAAUCACCUGUAACAGCUUGUUUACUGUAUAUGCCUCUUGGCCUGCAACUGCAGAAAGAAAGCUGUCCAUGAUGGGACCAGUGCAAAGGAAUAAACCUGAGCUUCCUCCUGCACUUGGGUCAAAUAUGGACACGCCUUUGUCCUCAUGAAAGUUUGCCUUCACUCAGACUCAUGCCCUGGUGUUCCUACCAUGCCAAAAUAUAGAAAACUGUCAGGCAAUGAGUUGGAAUAAAGUUGAAUAAAACCUUGAAACACAGAGAUGGAUGAUAUUUUAUACUUGUUGCUUUAUAAACAGUCAAAGCAAACGGGGUAAUUUUUGACCCCUGAGGACCACAAGUGUGAUUAUGUGCUGCCAUUUAAAAUUUAUAAAUGGUUCAAAAAAAAGAAUUCUCACUAAAGUUCAAC